rnacentral:rRNA from 1 species
UACGAAGGGGGCUAGCGUUGUUCGGAUUUACUGGGCGUAAAGGGCGCGUAGGCGGACCUGUAAGUCAGGGGUGAAAUCCUGGAGCUCAACUCCAGAACUGCCUUUGAUACUGGCGAUCUCGAGUCCGGGAGAGGUGAGUGGAACUGCGAGUGUAGAGGUGAAAUUCGUAGAUAUUCGCAAGAACACCAGUGGCGAAGGCGGCUCACUGGCCCGGUACUGACGCUGAGGUGCGAAAGCGUGGGGAGCAAACAGG